rnacentral:rRNA from 1 species
UCUUCCACAAUGGACGAAAGUCUGAUGGAGCAACGCCGCGUGAGUGAAGAAGGGUUUCGGCUCGUAAAACUCUGUUGUUAAAGAAGAACAUAUCUGAGAGUAACUGUUCAGGUAUUGACGGUAUUUAACCAGAAAGCCACGGCUAACUACGUGCCAGCAGCCGCGGUAAUACGUAGGUGGCAAGCGUUGUCCGGAUUUAUUGGGCGUAAAGCGAGCGCAGGCGGUUUUUUAAGUCUGAUGUGAAAGCCUUCGGCUCAACCGAAGAAGUGCAUCGGAAACUGGGAAACUUGAGUGCAGAAGAGGACAGUGGAACUCCAUGUGUAGCGGUGAAAUGCGUAGAUAUAUGGAAGAACACCAGUGGCGAAGGCGGCUGUCUGGUCUGUAACUGACGCUGAGGCUCGAAAGUAUGGGUAGCAAACAGG